rnacentral:misc_RNA from 1 species
UCUGCCUUAUCGGCAAGCGGUCUCUUUAGAGUGCCCAACUAAAUGCUGGCAACUAAAGACAAGGGUUGCGCUCGUUGCGGGACUUAACCCAACAUCUCACGACACGAGCUGACGACAGCCAUGCAGCACCUGUCUCCACGUCCCUUGCGGGAACUCCUGCUUUCACAGGAUAGCGUGGGAUGUCAAGCCCAGGUAAGGUUUUUCGCGUUGCCUCGAAUUAAACCACAUACUCCACCGCUUGUGCGGGCCCCCGUCAAUUUCUUUGAGUUUUAACCUUGCGGCCGUAAUCCUCAGGCGGGAUAUUUAACGCGUUAGCUACGACGCCGAGAGGGUAAGAACUCCCGACAUCUAAUAUCCAUCGUUUACAGCGUGGACUAC